CAGGUCAGCCAGGUGCGCGCGCUUAACAGUGAGGAAAGUCCGUACACCACAGAGCAGGAUGCCAGGUAACCCCUGGGAGGGCGCAAGCUUUCGGAUCGGGCCACAGAGACAUACCGCUCGCAAGAGUAAGGGUGAAAAGGUGGUGUAAGAGACCACCGGCAUCGCUGGCAACAGCGAUGGACAGGCAACCCCCAUCCGGUGCAAGGUCAAGCAGGAGAGAGAACCGGCUCGGUUCAUUUGAUCUCCGGGUAGACCGCACGAGCUGGUUGGUGACAAUCAGCCAAGAUAGAUGCGCACCCAUGACAGAAUACGGCUUACCGGCUGACCUGAGGG
rnacentral:RNase_P_RNA from 1 species